UGAGAGACAGAGAGCACGAGAGGGAAGAGGGCAGAGGGGGAAGCAGACCCCCUGCCGAGCAGGGAGCCUGAUGCGGGACUCGAUCCCGGACUCCAGGAUCAUGACCUGAGCCGAAGGCAGUCGCUUAACCAACUGAGCCACCCAGGCGCCCCACCUUGAAAUUUUAUUAGAAAACAUUGUCAUAUGAUUUAAACUUGCUAUGUGUAUCAUGUUGGUCCUGUGAUGACUCAGAAUUCCUUAAAUGACUUUUUCCUCUCCCUUCAAACAAAAUCUUAGCAGUACCACUGCAGAAUACCAGUGUGAAAUAUCAUAAAGCAGGUUAUUCCAGCCAAGAAUCCGAGGUGAGGCCAGCUUUAAAUUGUUGAGGCACAUUAAAGUCAAAUCAGUGGUGAGAAUGCUGACAGCUCCUCCUCAGAAAAGAUGUCUCUGUGGCACAUUUAAAAAUCAUAUCCCCCAGUGAAGAUGAUUAAGAACUUGGACAUAUUCGUAUCUGUGGCCACAGAGGAGAAAAAGGGAUCAUUUUCAUCACAGGUCAGUGCUGAGCACACUGAACUCCUUUGAAUAGCUGUCCCUUUCUUAAUCCGUCCAAGGAUUCUUAAUUUAUUUUGCUUAUUAUCAGAAGCGUCUCCCCCCUUGAGGAAACAUAAAAUUUAUUAAGAGAAUUGUAACUUAAAAUAUUCAGAGCACUCCUGGCAUCUUUACUUAAAUGGAUGCAAGAAAUUUUACUGCAAGAAAGUAUAUAUUGAUCCCUGUAGCUGACUUGUCAUGUUUAGUAUUUUUCUCUUUGCACAAGAAGAAUAGCUUCUGUAAUGUGAAUUUAAAUGAUACGUCAAGCUAAUAAAUGUGGUUGGCCUAGCAAGUGAUAAGCAUAACUAACUCAAUUUAAAUGUCUUUUAUAUAAAAAUAAUGAACCAGUGCAUUAAAGAUUAAAAAUGUUAAUGCAAUUAGCAAAAAUUAGCAUUCAAUAAAGAAGUGUGUUUCAGUUUUGAGAUGGAUGAUACAUCAUUCAAUGACCAGAUAAGGACUAAAUUCAGGUACACUUUAUUCAGCUGGCGUGUAUGUUAAAAACCAAAUAAAUAAAAAUUAAAUGCUUUAUUUGCCCCUUUGCAACGACGUGGGUGGAACUAGAGGGUAUUAUGCUAAGCGAAAUAAGUCAGUCAGAGAAAGACAAUUAUCAUAUAUAAUCUCACUCGUAUGUGGAAUUUAAGAAACAAAACAGGGUCAUAGGGGAAGGGAGGAAAAAAUAAAACAAGACAAAACCAGAGAGGGAGACAAACCAUAAGAGACUCUUAAUCAUAGGGAACAAACUGAGGGUUGCUGGAGGGGAGGGGUUACAGGAAUGGGGUAACUGGGUGAUAGACAUUUAGGAGGGCACGUGAUGUAAUGAGCACUGGGUAUUAUAUAAGACUGAUGAAUCACUGACCUCUACCUAGACAUGAAACCAGUAAUACAUUAUAUGUUAAGUAAUUGAAUUUAAAUUAAAAAAAGUAAAUGCUUUAUUUGAAGAAACUUUGAUAAAACAGUAUGUGGCAUGUAGACAAAAGGACACGCAGGUCCUUGGGGACUGUGCCAGAAACCAGGGCAUGAGGUGACUUAAAACAUAUUGUCACCUGCCUCCUUGUGGGGGAGGUAGAGGGGAUGUAGCAGGUGUGACAGUGAACGUGGGACUGGAGGGGAAAUGAAUUUUCCUGGCUUCACUGCUAAAUAAAGUGAGCAUUUUUGGUUUGGGGACGCUGACUUUAAAACAGUGGAGUAUACAGUGGUGUCGCUAUUUGCCUUAAUGUCGCUGUGGCGUCUUGUCACUCUAUGCUCAUCUGCAGGUGGAUGGCAAGCAUUCCGAUGAGGCAGCCUUGAUCCUCCACAGGAAGGGGUUUGACUGCCACUUCUCGAGCAGAGACACGGGGCUGCUUUGUUCCACAACCCAGGGAAAGAUUUUGGUACAGAAGCUUUUUAGCAUGUUUACUGUCGCAAGUCUCAUACCUUCGUCAUUAUCCUUGAUGCAUUCACCUCCAGACGCCCGAAAUAUAAGUGAGAUCAACUUGAGUCCCAUGGAAAUCAGCACAUUCCGAAUCCAGUUGAGAUGAACCUGGCUUUCAAAUUUGGAUUGGGAAGCAUUGUCUUUUAUACACUUCUUGGUUUGACGUGCAAUAAGGAAGCACAUUAUUUUAGCUUCUGGCUACUGUGAGGACAUGAAUUCUGUGAUUGUUAUUAUAAUUAUUAUUAUUAUUAUUUUUUUUUUUACUAGUACAGAAAGAAAAAAAAAAAAAAAGCCAUGCUAUAGCCAGUUUUUCUUUAAGUUCCAUCCAUGAAUCACCACCAUCAGUAUGAAUCGAUGCAACAAUGAAGGAAGAAAUGUCUAAAACAACCUCUCCACAGAUUGUAUCUCAGGUUAAAUGCUAACUAACUAUAUCUGUGUCGGGAGUUGUGAAGAGAUUGUUAUAAGUAUUCAUGUUGCUGAUCCUUCAUUAGUUUUACAAAAAUACCCAUUUUUACCAAAAUGGAAUAAAAAGCUGAAGGGUAAUAGCUAAUGGCCAAAAUGGUUGCAAUCGUUCAUACGCAUUCGAAAAAUUUUGUGUAUUGAAAUAUGUGGAAAAGUGCAAUCCAUCAACCCUUAUGAUAUCUGUACAUCAUUGAUCUUCACACCUUUUUCUAAUGUACCACUUGACCCCUCCCUUCUCACUCUUUGUAUUUCCAGAAAUAGCAGAUUUUGAAUCAUUCAAUAGUAGAAAAAGAGGCAUAUUUUCAUUACUUGACAAUGUGGGAUAGGUGCAAUUUAUUCCAUUGUCACUAAGAUAGAAAAAGCAAUCCCAUAGGUACCAUAACCUCUUUUAGGUACCACAAGGUGUCUUUUUACACAGCUCAUGUGAAUACAGAUGUUCGGAGAGGGGUUUUCUAUUUUAAAAAUAACCAUAUCAAAAUAAAUGUGCCUUAUUUUUUUAUAAGUCUUGUUAAAUCUUUUGGUGUCCAUAUGACUGAGGAAGGGGGAGAGGGCGGGGGUGGGGAGGAGGUGGGUACUUUCUAUGACACGUAAAGUGUUAUCGGUUUUGCCUGACAAUGCUGGCCACAUUCUGAUCUGUUUCAUUAAAUUUGUGGUGAUGUUAUUCUAAACAUUUUGACUAUUUGAAUGUACUGAGAUGUCAGAAAACAAAACAAGGAAGAAAAAGUACUGUUCAUUAAAAUCCGCUGCUGCCAAGAAGAUGGCAGCUUGAAGCAAGGAUUUUGUGACAUGCAAAAUCCAUACACUGUUUCCGUUUCACAGGAGGUAACUCUAUGAAAGAAUGCUUUAAAAGGGACCCUGUUUUGAAAUCCACUUAUAGGUAGCUCAUCCUGAUUUCUUUUAUUAAAGAACAUGUGUGUUGAGUGAAUUCCAAACUUUUGUACGUGCUAACCUCAAAGUGAAGUUCCAAGCCUAUGUGCCAUUACAGUACUUUUGAUAAAAUUUAUUUGGGAUCAUGAUUAACAUGACAUUAACACUGAAGCAACAUUAGAAACAUUUAGAAUAUUCAGUUUUAGGAUAGAAAGGAUUCACUGAGUAUGUACACUUUUGAAAAUUCUCUUUGUGUUACCUAAUAAAUUUAUUAUUCUCUGACUUUAAACUUCCUUUUACCUCCUGCCAUUCCAGCAUCUUUAUAGAGAAGUUGAAACCUAAUUUCUGUUUCACCAGGUAGUCUGAUGAUCAUCCUUUUUUUUUUUUUUUUUUUUUUUUUACCAAGAUGCAGCUCCUACAAUUAUUGCUAAGUUAUGUUAAGUUCAUAAAUUUUUUUCGCCUUUAAUAAUUAAGGAAACAAUACUGGUGUUGAUGAAGAUAUUAUAAGGGAGUAAUGUCAUGCAAUAAACAUGUACUGUAAGUUUCCUUCCUCAUUUUGGGGGAUAAACAACUAAAAGAAAAAAAAAAACAAAGCACUUCCUUUUUGUGGACAUCUAUAGAUGUUAAGAUUGCCAGAAGCAAAUCCCAGGAAUAAGAUCAGUAUUUUCAUUGCAUCUUAAAUGUAAAACCUUCCUUUGGGAGUUCACUGUGUUCUGUGGUUAAGUGGGUGUGCUUAAUCAUUGUGGAAAUUCUGAUCAGUUGAAAUAAAAAAUCUUGAUGCAAUAACAGUGGUUUUGCCACUUCUGGUUGUUUGAGAUGGAUCUGUCCCAUGUCAGUCGGGGUCUUAGUGUGUGUUGCCACCGUUCACAGGUAAAGCAGAAAUUCUCUUUAAACCAGCAAAUUUCUGCUUUUUAUUUUUAGAAUAAAUCAUCAGGGAAAUGAGGAGAGGAUGCUUUUGCUUUGGGUUGCGGUCACGAACUGAUUAAUUUAGUGUCUCUGGCACACCUAAAAACCAUACAUUUCAGUUGUGAUCUCGGUGGCAUAUUUGUUUGCUUGGGUUUUAUUACAUUUGUUACUGCAGAUGUUCGGUUGAGCGAGUAGGUCAUUCCUGUGAUUUUUUUUUUUUUUUUUUUUUGGUAAUUUGAGCUUUUUACCUGCAGUGUUUGAGAACUCGGCAUUCUUGUUUUCUUCAAAUACUGAUUAAAAUAAAAUGCUAUAAAAUGUGUUGUGAAACAUUUUAAUUACCUUCCCAUGUCUUUGUUGUACUUGUGUCGAAAUGUUUUCACAUUCCUUUGGAAGAAAAUCUUUGCUUUCAUUUUGAUUAUGUUGCUUAUCUUGGAAUCAAAUAGGUUUUGAUAUUUUUCUCUUGGAAGGUUUUAUAUCUUUUUGGGAAUAUGUAAUAUAAGAUCUCUAAUAAAAGAUAAAUCUUA